rfam:Schistosoma curassoni strain Dakar, Senegal genome assembly, scaffold: SCTD_scaffold0001523
UGCUGAAGAGUCUCACAAUAGGACGAAACGGCCGUCCA